rnacentral:tRNA from 6 species
GCGCCGGUAGCUCAAUUGGAUAGAGCAUCGGACUACGGAUCCGAAGGUUACGGGUUCGACUCCUGUCCGGCGCGCCA